rnacentral:rRNA from 1 species
AAGAUGAGACUGCGUCUGAUUAGGUAGUUGGUGGGGUAACGGCCCACCAAGCCCAUCAUCAGUACGGGUUGUGGGAGCAAGAUCCCGGAGAUGGAUUCUGAGACAUGAAUCCAGGCCCUACGGGGCGCAGCAGGCGCGCAAACUUUACAAUGCGAGCAAUCGUGAUAAGGAAACCCUGAGUGCCUGUCGAUGCAGGCUGUUCAUAUAUUUAAAUUGUAUGUGAAGAAAGGGCAGGGCAAGACCGGUGCCAGCCGCCGCGGUAAUACCGGCUGCUCGAGUGAUGGCCACUAUUACUGGGUUUAAAGCGUCCGUAGCUUGAUUUUUAGGUCUCUUGGGAAAUCUUUUGGCUUAACCACAAGGCGUCUAAGAGAUACCGGAAAUCUUGGAACUGGGAGAGGUAAGCCGUACUUCGGGGGUAGGAGUGAAAUCUUGUAAUCCUCGAGGGACGACCUAUGGCGAAGGCAGCUUACCAGAACAGCUUCGACAGUGAGGGACGAAAGCUGGGGGAGCAAACGGGAUUAGAUACCCCGGUAGUCCCAGCCGUAAACAAUGUGCGUUAGGUGUGUCGGUUACCACGCGUAACUGAUGCACCGAAGAGAAAUCGUGAAACGCACCACCUGGGAAGUACGGUCGCAAGGCUGAAACUUAAAGGAAUUGGCGGGGGAGCACCACAACAGGUGGAGCCUGCGGUUUAAUUGGAUUC